AGCGAACGCUGGCGGCAGGCUUAACACAUGCAAGUCGAGCGGACCUUUCGGGGUCAGCGGCGGCCGGGUGUGUAACGCGUGGGAACGUGCCUUCCGGUUCGGAAUAACUCUGGGAAACUAGGGCUAAUACCGGAUCCGAGCUAAUGGGGAAUGGUUUACUGCCGUACGAUCGGCCCGCGUCUAAUUAGCUAGUUGGUUGGGUAACGGCCUACUACGGCGCCGAUCAGUAGCUGGUCAGAGAGGAUGAUCAGCCACACUGGGACUGGGACACGGCCCAGACUCCUACGGGAGGCAGCAGAGGGGAAUAGUGGACAGUGGGGGCAGGCCUGAUCCAGCCAGGCCGCGUGAGUGAUGAAGGCCUUAGGGUUGUAAAGCUCAUUUAUCCGGGACGAUAAUGACGGUACCGGAGGAAUAAGCCCCGGCUAACUUCGUG
rnacentral:rRNA from 1 species